rnacentral:rRNA from 1 species
CCUACGGGUGGCAGCAGUGAGGAAUAUUGGUCAAUGGCCGGAAGCCUGAACCAGCCAAGUCGCGUGAGGGAUGACGGACCUAUGGAUUGUAAACUUCUUUUGUAAGGGAGCAAAGGGCGCUACGUGUGGAGUUUUGCGUGUACCGUAAGAAUAAGCAUCGGCUAAUUCCGUGCCAGCAGCCGCGGUAAUACGGAGGGUGCGGGCGUUAUCCGGAUUUAUUGGGUGUAAAGGGUGCGUAGGCCGGAUGUCAAGUGUGCGGUGAAAUUUCCGGGCUCAACCCCGGCCUUGCCGUGGAAACUGGCGUGCUUGAGUGAGCGGGAGGUAGGCGGAAUGCGUGGUGUAGCGGUGAAAUGCAUAGAUAUGACGCAGAACUCCGAUUGCGAAGGCAGCUUGCUGCAGCGGAACUGACGCUGAUGCACGAAAGCGUGGGUAUCGAACAGGAUUAGAUACCCUAGUAGUC